GGGACGGUAGCUCAGCUGGUUAGAGCGCUGCCCUGUCACGGCAGAGGUCGCGGGUCCGAGUCCCGUCCGUCCCG
rnacentral:tRNA from 1 species